rnacentral:rRNA from 1 species
GAGUUUGAUCCUGGCUCAGGAUGAACGCUGGCGGUAUGCUUAACACAUGCAAGUCGAAGGAAAGUUUUGUACUUUUGUGGCGAUCGGGUGCGUAAUACGUGAGAAUCUGCCCUUAGGAAGAGGAUACUUGCUGGAAACGGCUGCUAAUACUCUAUAUGUCGAGAGAUGAAAUAGAUUUGUUGCCUAUGGAUGAGCUCGCGCCUGAUUAGCUAGUUGGAGAGGUAUUGGCUCCCCUAGGCCACAAUCAGUAGAUGGGUUGACAUAACGAUCAGCCACACUGGGACUGAGACACGGCCCAGAGUCCUCCGGGAGGCAGCAGUGAGGAAUUUUCCGCAAUGGGGGAAAGCCUGACGGAGCAAUACCGCGUGAGGGAUGAAGGAUUUUGGUCUGUAAACCUCUUUUCUCAAGAAAGAAGUUCUGACGGUACUUGAGGAAUAAGCAUCACCUAACUCUGUGCCAGCAGCCGCGGUAAUACGGGGGAUGCAAGCGUUAUCUGGAAUCAUUGGGGGUAAAGCGCCUGUAGGUUGUUUAAUAAGUGUCAGAAUAAAGAUCAGGGGUCUCCCCCGGAAAAGCAAUUGAAACUAUUAGACUAGAGUAUGGCAGGGGUAGAGGGAAUAUAUAGCGUAGCGGGGAAAAGCGUAGAUAUUAGAAAGAACGCCAGCGGCGAAAGCGCUCUACUGGACCAUUACUGACACUCAGAGGCGAAAGCUAGGGUAGCAAAAGGGAUUAGAUACCCCUGUAGUCCUAGACGUAAACGAUGGAUACUAGAUGUUGUGCUUCCCUACAGUAUCGUAGCUAACGCGUUAAGUAUCAUACGUGGGGAGUACGCUGACAAGGGUGACAAUCAAGAGACUCGACGGAGUCCCGCACAAGCCGUGCAGCAUGUGGUUCAUGUGGAUGCAACGCGGAGUACGUGAGCAGGGCUUGACAUACUACAGAUUCUUUAGAGAUAGAGAAGUGCAUUCGGGAAUUUAGAUACUGGUGGUGCAUGGCUGUGGUCAGCUUCAGUUGUGAGAUGGAGGGUUAAGUCCCGCAACGAGCGCAACCCCAAUUUUUAGUUAUCAAUUCCAGGGGUUCUCCAGAAAGAUUGCGGGAGACAACCCGGAGGAAGGUGAGGAAGGGGUCAAGUCAGCAUGCCCCAUAUGUGCCGGGCUACACACGGCCUCCAAUGGUUAACACAUAGAGUUGCGAGCUGUCAAGAGUCAGCUAAUGUCAUAAAAUUAGCAAAAGUUCGGACAGUUGGGAUCAGAUUGCGCGCAUGAAGUCGGAAUAGUUAGUAAUCGUUGGUCAGCCAUAUCGCCCAGAAUCCGUUCCCGGGCCUCCCACACCCCGCCCGUCACACCAUGGGAGCCGGUCAUGCCGGAUACCGUUUGCUUAGCCAUUCGCAGAGGUACGUCUAAGGUAGGGCUAGUGACUGGGGCGAAGUCGUAACAAGGUAACC